rnacentral:rRNA from 1 species
CUACGGGACGCUGCAGAUGCGAACUCUCCACAAUGCACGAAAGUGUGAUGGGGGAACCCCUCGUGCUGGCGUAAUGCGUCAGCUUUUUUGGAGUGUAAGUAGCUCUGAGAAUAAGGGGUGGGCAGACCGGUGCCAGCCGCCGCGGUAAUCCCGGCGCCCCAAGUGGUGGCCAUGUUUAUUGGGCUUAAAGCAUCCGUAGCCGGUUAGCGAAGUUUCCUGUGAAAUCUGAGGGCCUAACCUUCAGGCGUGCAGGGAAUACUAGUUAACUUGGGACUGGGAGGAGCUAGAGGAAUGCCUUGGGGAGCGGUAAGAUGCUUUAAUCCAAGGUGGACCAUCAGUGGCGAAGGCGUCUAGCUAGAACGGGUCCGACGGUGAGGGAUGAAAGCUAGGGGAGCAAAGAGGAUUAGAUACCCCGGUAGUC